ensembl:lncRNA
CACGUCUCAGGUUAGGGGCUAGAGCUGAGAUCUCUGCUCUGGGACUGCAAACAGCAAAUCCAAGUCCUCCAACUUCAUCUUCCUCUCAGCAUCGCCCUCACCGUUUCAGAUUCUCUGUUUCUAUGUGUGAACUGUAGAACAGUUCUUCACCCUCUUCACAAGCUCCAAAGACCCAAAGCAUCUGGCUGAGCCCUGGUGACCUGUACAUGGCUGCCUCUGGAUUUGACUAUGACAGGGACACCACUGGAUGUCUGGUGUUAUCCAUGCCGGAUUGACAGUGUGUGUCUGUCCUUCUAGCAUCUCCAUUUUCACUCUCCAUUUCUCUCUUCCCCUUUGAAUGUACUCCAAAUGCACUUCCUGCCCAAAUGGUAUCUUUAGCCUCAGGUGGAUGCUUUUGUACAGAAUGCAGCCUCUGCAGUUAUGCAUGGCAAUCCUGAGUUUUGAUCCUCAGCCUGGUAGACCAGCUCAGAAAAUGAGAGACAAGAAAGAUGCAGGAAUCUCUCAGUAACAGUAACAUUGGACAAGGAUUAUUUGUGUCCCAAAAAGUCUUAUAGUAAGAGAUGGUGAACUCUUUGAUCCUAUAUAAGAAAAAAAGGAAACUACUUGAUCUGUUUAACUUCAGAAGGAAGACUCUAACCUCCACUUUUCAUGUCAUCGGUGGUGUACUUCCAUCCAUCCUGAAGACUUUGAGAUAUUGGUGUAAUUCUUGCCACUGUUGGGGAUUUCCAUUGUUCUUGAUCCCAUCUUCUUGAACAUCCUCCUUCUGGGACAGCAUGCUGAGAGGCUCUGCAGGAAUUCUAACCCUGCUACAUACACAUUGUCAGGAUCACAUCAUCUCCUAUAGAAUCCAAUAGAAGGCUCCAUGAUCCAUAACUGCUUCUUUCUACGUGCCUGAGAAAUGAUACCAUGUAUCUGAUGCCACCUGCUCAAGCAGUAGUAGGGUCUCUUGAAGAGGUCAUUAGUGAGGAUGAGGCGAUUUCAGUGAAGUCCAAUCCACUCCAUUCUUAUACAAAGACAAGAGGACAUUGGAAAGACACCAAAGCACACGGCCAAGUGAGCACAUAGUGAGAGGUGGCCAUCUGCAAACCGGCGUGUGAGCCCCAGGAGAAGCUGCACCAGCUGAUACCUUGAUCAGAGCUGUAAGGGAAUAAAUUUCAGUUGUUUAAGCAAC